UUAAAUUUUACAACGACAUUUGUUAAGAGAACUGCCUUUAAUAAUGAGUAGAAGUAGGACAACGACGUUUAUUUGAAUAGCUUUUAACGACCGUCUUUUUAUAUAGGGUUUAAAAAAUUUCGCCAAAGAACUAAUAAUUUCGUGUAGCUACUGUGGGUCUCAGUCACGAGCUCGAACCCUAGCUAGCUUGCAUGUCUGCUUCUUUCGUU
rnacentral:lncRNA from 1 species